CCUACGGGAGGCAGCAGUGAGGAAUAUUGGUCAAUGGACGAAAGUCUGAACCAGCCAUCCCGCGUGCAGGAUGAAGGUCCUAUGGAUUGUAAACUGCUUUUAGCAGAGAAGAAAAGCAUCCUUUUAAGGGUGUCUGACGGUAUCUGCGGAAUAAGCACCGGCUAACUCCGUGCCAGCAGCCGCGGUAAU
rnacentral:rRNA from 1 species